GGAACCCACAGAUACAGAGAGCCCACUCCCCAGUUCACUUAUUCUAAAUGUAAUUCCUACUACAGAAAAGAUAACAGAUAUAUUUAGGUCAGUUUGUAUUAAAAAAAACACAAACUAUUGAUUCCAAUUUGAUGAGCAUUGACAGUGUUACUUGCAUAGCUAUUUAACAGAGGAAAGAAACAGUUAUAGGAAAAAACAUUGAAAGAGCCUCACACUGAACUACCUCCUCGUGCUGACUUCCAGUGAUGACAACACUCAUCCUUUUAUUUCAGUAAUAAUUUAAUGCUUUGUUUUGUGGACCAGACUCAUUGCAAUGUUAGAACUGAAAAGGUAAAGGAUAACUCUGGUCAACCCUGUAUAUGCUAUUGCCAGUAAAUUUUCUUUUAAUAUAGCCUGUGCCAAAUUUUAGAAAAUAUAAUAAUAAUUGAAGGUAGUAUGCAAGCAGUAGCUUCUGUAAUAAAAUAAUUUUACAUUGUGUGUCAUGAUGUAAACCUUACUGCUUGCUUUGAUUUAUAUGCAAAUAUUUCUUAUUCUUAUAGUUUACAUUGCUUUCAGCUGCUAUCUUAGUUUUUGUGCUCUAGACUAUCUCCAUUUUUUCUAUGAUUACCAUAAUAAAAUGGGCAAGUAGGAAAAAUUAUGGUUACUUCCUGUCUCAUUUUGUGUAUUUGUUUCAGUAGCAGUACCAAUCUUUUUCAACCAGUGUUGUCGAUGUCAUGAAUUUACAGUAAACCCGUGGAAUUUACAUAUAUAAAACAUAGAUGUCAUGCUGGUGAAUUCAACUUACAAGCCAUGGAAUAGAACUGUUGCAGUGAGGCUAUUAGUUUCAGGUAAUUUAAAUCUCAGUGGGAACCAAGAAGUGGAUUUUGAACUAAUGUAUUUUUGAAGUUUUCAAAUAUAGGAGAUUGUAAUACUCUGUAUAAAGAAAAAAAAGUUGGUGAUUUUUUUAAGGUAAAGAGGUUUAAAUUUAAUGAAAUGAUUAAAAGUAAUUUCAAGAUUUAUUUCCUCUUUAUAAAAAUUGUUUUUUGUGGCUUAGAGGAAAUUGGUUAAAAAUUUAAGCUCCUUUUUGAUAUAACACCAAAUAGAACUAAACAUAGCUUUGAACAUUGGGAACUUUUCCUAAUGGUAGGUAACAAGACGAAAUUGUUGGUGAGGACUUACCUACACAGGGCCUGGUGUAAUUUAUUCACCAAUACCAUUGUUAAUAAGGAUCACCCAUAAGAGAUCUUUAUACUUAAUUUUCUGUCAGGUAAAAUUAUAUUUUGAUAAAAUGUUUCUCUAAUUUUAGAACUUGAAAGAAAAUUGAGAACAGUGUUGAAGUAUAGUUAGUAGUAAGACUCAUCGUUAAUUUUAAGACUCUGCCACUCAGGUGUGAAAAUUGUUAGCUCCUCUUCACACAUUUGUUUUCUAACAACAAUAAUGGCGUGUAAUGGUAGAGAUAACCAGUUUGCUCUUCCUCAGCACCACCAUAUCACUUCCCGCAAACUUCUCACACCUUUAGCAUGAAAUUUUAAUGAUUUGUUUAUUUCUCUGUCUCUUUCAGGAGGCUGUGGGACCCUGGAAGGUUGGGACUGUAUUUAUAUUUCUAUUUCAAGCAGAUUUUGCAUAGUGCUUGAUACUUGAUAGCUGGUAAACUCUAGGAAGGCAUCGACAACAUAUAUUUAAAGUAUCUGGCAAGACUUAGGGGCCUACAAUCCUGCCUUUCCAGAAUAUUUUGAGGAAAAUUGACUAACUCCCCUAGUAUUACCCAAGGAAGCAUAUAAAUUGUGCAAGUCAAAUUAUGGGUCACAGAAAAUUGGAAUGUCCAUGAUGGAAUAGUUACUAUCUUUUUGUUUCUAAUAUUUCAGGCAGUGCUAUUUCCAAGAGGAUUGUUUGUUAUUGUGUCCUUCACACAAAGGCUGUGUUUUUUAUAUUCCUUUUACGCCUAUUACCUGACAUUGCCAGAAAUAGAACAGAUACUCAUUAAAAUGUUCAAGGAAUGAUCAGGGUUUACUGGUUUAUUCCCAGCACACCCUCCCAACUUUCCUACUAGAUGAUAAGCAGCUUGAGGGUGGGACCCAGGUAUUAGUCAUUUUAAAAUUAUCCUUUGUCCCACAUUCAGAACAGUUCCACAUGUAUAGUCAGAGCUUCCCAAGACCACUCUCACAUUUGGAGAUAUGCUAGAAGGCCUCACAGGUCUCAGAAUAUAGUUCUAUUCAUGGCUAAGAUUUACUACAGUGACAUAGUGGGGAUACACAACCACAUCAUAAGGGAGGGAGAACUACAGGUGGAUUCUGGAGGGAUCCAUGGGCAGGCUUCCUUAUGAUCUCUCUCUCUCUCUCCUCCCUCCCAUGUGUUCUCUUCCCUCAUCAGUGAAAAUGAAGCAGUAUAUCUGCAAUGUUCCUGCCCAGGGAAGCCCAUUAGGGAGUCAGUGCCCAAGGUUUUUAUGGGGGGCUUGUCAUGUAGGCACUAUAUUUAGCAGGUACCAAAAUUUCAGAUGCCCCAAAGUACAGCAAGCACUCAGGCUGCACUCAUGGCAUAUGGAGGUUCCAGGCUAGGGGACUAAUGGGAGCUACAGCUGCUGGCCUAUGCCAGAGCCAUAGCAAUGCCAGAUCUGAGCCACAUCUGCGACCUAUACCACAGCUCAUGGCAACACCGGAUCCUUAACCCACUGAGUGAGGCCAGGGAUCGAACCCACAACCUCAUGGUUCCUAGUCGGAUUUGUUUUCGCUGCACCACAAUGGGAACGCCUUAAAUUCCUUUCUUGAGCUUUAUGAACGUGCCAAACAUACCUGUCUUCCCUAGUUCCACAACAGACCCAAAAAGCUUAUGCAGGUACGGUUGCUUAUAGUCAGUGUUCUCUUGCAAAUAUUGUAAACCAGGAUAUAGACUCUGUUGAUUCCUGGUUACAGAUAGUUAUUAUAAAUCCCCAUAAUAUUAUAACAGCUUCUAUUCCGAAUCUUUAGUUUUCUUUAUUAUGGUUGGUGGGUUGGGGUAUUCAUAGGACAAAAGCUAAGAAAGCAGUAAAACAAAGGAAAAAGUGAAGAUUCCCAAAAAUCUGGGCAUAUUGUUGUAGUAUCACAUGUCCUAAAAUGUUCAAAGCUUAAUUUCUGGGCUGUUUAGAUGAAUCCCUGAUAGACGGCAUCUCCAUGGCGAUGGAUAGAAAAUCACUUUUGAUAACUGCUUUAUGUAGUUUGCUGUGACAACAUGUUUUCUGGUUUUAAAGGUUUCUAUCAGUUGGGCUUUACGUUCCUGCUUUUUGGAAUACAAUUAUGACAGUUUUGUAUUCAGCAGAGGUUGCCUGAUCAGGAACUCAGUAUUCUGGCUGAUCUCAACUAUUUGGAGUAUGACCUGAAUUUCUGCCAAUUAAGGGGGAGGGGAGAGUCUUAUGUGUCUUAGAGAAUCGUGGGUGUCAACUCAGGCUCUCACCCAGUUA
rnacentral:lncRNA from 1 species